UGAGAAUUAGAUGUUCAGCAGAGCUCUGGCACAAGGGAAAAACAGUUCCUGGGUCUGGUUGUUUUGGCAUGCAGGCAAUUCCUUGCUUGGGAAGUCUCUGACGCCUUCCUUUCCUCUAAGUAAGGCUUCCAAUAUGAGGAACGAGUUCUAUUCUGUGCCUGGAAAAUGAGCCAAGUCCUGACCAGGCAGCAUAAAGGAUGGGAGUCUGUUUAUACAGACCUAUUAGGAGUAAUUCCAACAGGCACUUCCUCUGCAGACUUCUCUUUGCUAUCCUCCUGUAUCUGCUAUCUCCUUCUCCAACCCCCACAUAGCCCUUUAGUUGGAACAGCCUUUUUGCUUAGCAAGCACUGCAGGCACUUACACCCAGGAGCUGUGGCUUACUCCUAAGGAGUAAAGAAUCUUUUCACCACAUUGGCCAUCAGUCUGUUGCCAAUUUCAGUGCAAUCCAAGAACUUCAGUGUGCUUGUACAGCCUCCCAGUUGGGUCCAAGGCCAGGUCCAGUCUGUUCUUUGUCUUCUUGUGUGAGCCUGUAACUUCUUUACCAUCCUCAGUCUAUCCCAUUUCUUCAUUACUGCCAAUCCAUUUACAUGCAAGCUUUCCAUUUUUAAUCACCUUUACUCUCUUCACUUUUUGUUCUCUCUUAAUUGUUUAAUGUUCCAUACCCUACCCAAUAAAACUCUGCUCAAACAUCACUCACUCAGUAACAACACAAAAUGAUGCUGGUUAAAGUAUGUAUCUAAAAGGAUGCCAUUUUAACACUCCUUUUUACCUCCCCAUUUUCUCUUUGUGUGUGUGUGUGUAUAUAUAUGUGUGUGUGUACCUUUACAAAAGGGCCUUGAGGAACAAAAGGAAACAUGGUGACAAGUGAUUAAGCAGUGCCCUCUUCCGGGCAACUAGGAAGGCUUUGUAAA